AGCAACAGCCUUUGCAGUUUCUGGUCUGUUUUUCUUUAUAUACUCCUCAUCUUAGUUAAAAUCUCACUUAAGUACUAGGAUAUAAACAUGCAUCAACUUUAUCUGUUUCCUAUUCUUUCCUGAUCAUUCUUUCGCAUGGAAUUUGUUGAUACUGAUUUUGAACUCUCAAACAAUUAUUUUUGAAACACUUCCUCACAAUAUUUUAUAUCAUGCAGAAGGCUAUUUGUUUAGUGGAAUAAAAGGCUUCAGAAUGCUAACUGAUCAUGAACAAUUUAUAACUACCGAGGUUUUAGUGAUUGUGUGCACUUAUCAUUAUGCUGAAUGCUUUCAUAUACUAAUUUGUCUGUGUUUAUGUUUCUACUAUUUCUUCUUUCUACGUAGUUCAUUGUUUUUAGUAGGGGAAAAAAAGCAUUAAUUUCCUCAUGAUUUUAUUUUAUUUUAUUUU
rnacentral:misc_RNA from 1 species